rnacentral:rRNA from 1 species
CCUCCUACGCCCGGCUCCGUCUGGCCCUCCUCCUCCUCCUGCGCCCGGACCCGCGGCACGGCCACCAGCAGCGCCACGAUCGGUUCGGGCCGCGCAGUGGCCAGCGCGAGCAGGUACGCCACCGGCGCCGCCCCUCGAAACGAACGCCGUAUCUCCUACCGCGCACCCGGCACGAACGACGACCGCGGCACCCCGUGGAAUGCGCCGAGGGGCGGGUGGGCGUGCCGUUCCAGACGAAGGAAGUGAACGAAUAAAGGAAGUAAGACAUACGGACGAGCCAAACCCCCGAGGUUUUGGGAUAGUCCAACUUUUAACUUGAUAUCUACUUUUUCUCUGUUACGAAUGAAUUACUUACAAAACAAACCCUUAAUCAGACAUGUAACCGGUGUUGGCCUAGGUGUCCCUUCUCCACGAGCUCUACCUCCUCCUGUAGGUCUAACUCCACGCUCCAGCUAUGGUUGCGCCAGGACCCUCCGCACGUGCUCUAGCUUCCGUCCCUCGAGGUCUUCCGUCUGCCGCUGUAGCGGAGUGAGAGAUUUAAAUGUGAAUAGAUCUUAGGUCACGAAGUACUGGUACCGUUAUAACCGAACUGUUUUUGCUAUAUAUUUCAUCAUAGAUAGAAGAAAAGUCAACAUACUUAAACCUUGACUCAAGAUUACCGUAUGUCAACAUACUUAAACCUUGACUCAAGAUUACCGUAUGUCAACAUACUGCACGAAACUAAUACGAGUUUUGACAAGUAAGGUUACGAACUAGCCUCACGUCUAAUAUAUAGUUGUUGGUCCUUGAUGGUAUGUUAGAAGUAUAGUGUGUAAGGUGGAUACUCAUACUUCUAGGCACUGUUCCGUUCUCGUUAGUACUCCGGAAUAUACGAAUAGAUAGAGUAGGUAACUACUAGAGAAAGUUCCUUGUCUUCCUGAAGAACAAGUAAAUCUCUCCUAGUUAGAAAACUAAAACCAUGAAUUAUUUGAUUUAGAACUCGUAACCUCCUCCAUCGGGGAUCUGACCACUUCUCCGUUUACCCCUGUGCUCCUCCAAGUACCACCAAGAUCCGAGUAGAGAAACCACUCGUCGUCACGCGAUGCAACCUGUCAAUGGUUCCGACCUGCCUCCACACGGACACGCCGGCCUGCCACAGCAGGACCAACUCGUCUAGUGGCAUGGUUCCGACGGACGGCCUGAGGUUAAGGGAUGGCGACAGUUCGAGAUCUAGUUCGAGGUGUACCUGGACAAAUAGGCACGCUAUGAUACAAAGGAGAGCACCGGCAGACAAGGCGAACCGCAAAGCAGACCUAGACUCUCCUCUUCCGGAGUUCGUCCCUCUACUCCUCCAAGUACCUUGGUACCUCCAAAAGUCUACUCUAAUCAACUUUCUUUUCCCAUUAAAGGGUACGACGGUACGCUCUCAGUCUCCACCCACUCAAGGGACUAGGGGCCGACAUCGUUGUAACCGGUGGUGAGAUACGCGUAGACACGGCGGUUUUAGUCUAAAGUACACAUAGUUCGUCUAACACUUCUUUUACAUGGACUUCUACCAAGGAGUUAUACUCUUAGGCUAAUUGUAACAGAAGUUCUUAAUUCCAUGUCUACCUGUCCGCAGUACAAGUCGUUAAACUGUGUGUGCCACCUCUAAAUUACCUGAUUGAUGAAAAAAAUCUCCUUCUUCACCCGUGUUCAUCUGACCUUUUUGUGUUUUGUCGCCCUCUACAGUACAAGUCGUCGCUGUUGUGGUAACGAGAAGUACAAAAUUCAAUUUCGACAUAAUGAAGUCUUACUAAUCAGUUUCUAGCCACUAACAAUCUCCAGACUUCAAUUACACUCUCCUUCCUCGUACUCACCAGAAAAGUUAUGUCAUAAAAAAGGAAUGACCGUAUCCAACAGUUCCUAACAAGAUAGGCAGAGUCUCUUUACACAAGUUUCACUUAAGAAGAGUCCUGACUCUGAAUAAAAUGUCAUUAUUGAAUGUAUUCGGGAAACCAACUAGGCAAGUUACCGACGUUAGAUCUUCGAAAUACUCUAAAGGGUUCAUAGUAAAAGACUUUUUUCCAGUACAACAUAUUCCAUUCUUGUUGUAUCUCUUAACUAUCAUUGGUUUGAUUAACGAACGAUAACUAAUGUUGUAUGAGGGAGG